UGUAAGGUAACAACUUACAGUAUUAAAAAGAAAACCCCAAAAGAACAAACCCCUCUGAGCAAGCACGAGGCGACAGUGGGAAGGAAAAACUCCCUUUUAAGAGGAAGAAACCUUCGACAGAACCAGGCUCAGGGCGGGGUGGCCAUCUGCCGCGACCAUUCCUGGGGAUUUCAAAAAUGACUUGAUCUGAUCUAAAUGUAAAACUAGCUCAUUUAAAGUGUCCAGUGAGUUUUAGAAAAUAUCUUGCUGUUGAUAUCACGAUGUCACUAUAAAGUGGAAACUUUGUUUCUUCCCUUACACCUCCCAAAAAAUGCCCGCACCGAUGAGAAGCACUUAGAUAUGCAACUUGGUUCUGUGAAUAUCUUUCUUUUGAAAGUUUUAACAAUAUCUUCAUCAAGAUUUUGGAAGUUUAAUUGCCAGAAUGUCACCAAAGAUGCAUGCUUCCAUCUUUUACAGAGGGAUUUGAAAACCCUCUCGCUGAGUUUCUUGAACUUCUCUGGUGGGAUUUUGUCGUAUCUGGCCCUGAUUUCAGUCCAGAUUUUCAUGGUAAGCCGGUUGGAGAUAGCUUCAGCACUUUCAAUGCUGAAGACUGUGCCUGAUUUUUUUGAAACCUGGGAAAUCAGUCCUUCCACAAAGAUUUCCACUGAAAAUCUGCAUCUUUCUUUCUUUUCAUAUGAUUCCAGUCUAUCAGUAACUGUUACUGCCAACAGGUGUUCUUGGAAUACUGAAGUAGUUAUGAUAUUAAAUAUUGGUUGUUCCAUUAAAUUCAUUGAAUCCUCCUCCCCACUCCUCCCCAUUUCCAAUGAUAUUAGUGACAAUUUAUGUAAUUUGUCACAAAUAUCAGUGAAAAUCGCAUUAGCAAUGCAGUCAAAAUAAUUCUGCACUUUUUGGUCUAAAUGCAAAUCCAUCCCCUUGAAUUUGUCCAAGAGUAGAUCCAACAAACGUUUUUGGUGAGAAUGAGGGCACUUUAAAAGUUUACCAAGCUUUGAAAGCACAGCCUGAAUUAAUGUCUCUAACCAUCUUUCAAAGUCUGUUUUUUCAGGUGGCUCACAGUCUACAGAAGAUCUGUGAUGCUGUAUCUUUUUAUAUGACUCCGUUUGACUUACGUUUGUUAACGGUGGGAUGCUGGCUUCAUGUUCAACACAGGAUUUCUGCUGCUGGGGAUCUGGAAUUGGAUUGUUUUCUGGUUUUGCAGCACUGUGUCGGUCAGCAUUUUGACAGCUUUCUUCUGUGUUAGCUGUUUCUUGGCUGUUAGCAUCUAUAUUCUGUGCUGUAUCAAACUCCUGCUCAGCAGAAUCGUCCAAAAAUUUCACAGGUGACAAAACCGUUUUGGGUUUUGCAGCACUGUGUUGGUCAGCAUUUUGACAGCUUUCUUCUGUGUUAGCUGUUUCUUGGCUGUUAGCAUCUAUAUUCUGUGCUGUAUCAAACUCCUGCUCAGCAGAAUCGUCCAAAAAUUUCACACGUGACAAAACCGUUUUGCCAGUAGUGGUGUGGACAGAACAGUUUUCAUGUACAGGGGAGUUCUGGGAAGACCUCAGCGGUGAUACUGCUAGUGACUGUUCACACAGGUCCAUUACGUCCUCUACAAAACCUACAAGCCGCUUAGCGGUGACGCAAUCCGGAUAGCCUGAGGUAAGCUCUAACAACUGCUUGUUCGAAAAACUACUGACCAAGUUAUCCAAGAGGGAUACCAAAGCAUGUACUGUAGAAUUAUCCCCAUUGGUCUGAACUGUUUCAUCAUUUGUCAUUGUGUUACAGUUCGAGCUUGCCAUUUCACUUUUUUGUUUUUUAUGUCUAAAAUGUUGUUUUGUGUUAAACUCCGUGUUUGAACGUUUAAAGCGCUGCUGUCCCGCUGUGUGAAUGCGUUUCAACUGAACAGCCAGGUCUAUAUAUAAGGUCGGUUUAAGGUUUCUUUGUAACGUCACCUGACGUUUCUUUGUAACGUCACCAGUCAAAGGACUGGCCCGCCCCGUCAUAACGAAAGGGGCGGGACAAAUCUGUUGCUUAGCAACUGAAAAAAAGGCACACCGCGCUGAAUGCUACAUCCGGCCUGCGACGGUACACCGCCUCCGCACCACCGUUUAAACAUGAAGUGUGGAUGUUAGAAGAUCCCAAAUAUGGUGAGCUACUGGGAAAUUACUCACGUUUUUGUUCUUGAGAGUGAGCGAUAAUAAGCGACAUUUUAUUGAGAAAUUACAGUAGUCUGUCUACAAAAACUACAAAAAUGACCUAAAUAAGACAGAAGUACACAUUCAUUUUUAUCGUUUUGUAAACAACAGGGCGCAUGAGGUUUGUUCAGUAUUUGUUGUGUCUACAAGGCUCAGGCGCCCCCAUGAAGUGUCUUAUUUGUAUAGUUGAAAGCAUUAUAAAGGAACGCAAAACUAAAUUACAUAUAAUUAUAAUUCUUGGCACUUUCUGGUGUGUGUGAGUUAGUGUUUCUCUUUUAUGAUUUGUGGGUCCAGCAUCAAAUUUAGAAUCCUUCCCAUCACACAUGAGGUCUUGAAUAAUCAUCUUAUUUUAAAGACCUCGUAGUUUGAUAGUUUGCUCUCAGACUGUGGGCUUCCUUGUGGUUUUUAGGAUAUUUAGAAGUAGAAGUAGAAGGGGAUCAUCCUUCUGUGGAACCAGCUCCCAGUUUGAAUGCAGGAGACGGACACUAUCUCUACUUUUAAGAUUAAGUUUCAAAGUUACCUUUUUGCCAACGCAUAUAGCUAGGGCUGAAUCAGGUGACCAUGAAUCCUCCCUUAGUUACCCUGGGACUACCCUGCUGGGGGAUUCCCACCAUGUGUUUAUACACCUCUCUGCAUUCAAUAAUUAGUUCUUGUUCAUCUCUGGCUCUCGUCCACAGUGUGUCUUUUGUCCCCUUUUCGUCUCCUCAUCCCCAAAGGGUCGCAGCGGGCUGCCCCUCCCUGACCGUGGUUCUGCCAGAGGGUGCUUCCUGUUAAAAGAAAUAGUCAGGACCCAGAUGAACCUGUGCUGGAAUUCAGUGUGGGCUUUCUACUUACAGGGUGGUGGGUCUCAGAGGACAAUUGCUACCCCUGUUGAAGUGAACAACGUGUGGAGUGCAACUGGCUUUGUGGCAUAGCUGGCUCUGGCCUUGGACUGUGUGUUUUUACUUUGUACCUAAAUGGGACACUGGACUUUUAACUACUAUUCAUUG
ensembl:lncRNA